AUAUAUAUAGACGAAGAUCAACAUGCAUAAAGGUAUCAUCUAUUAGUAGAAAACUAAAUCAAGAAUCUGAGAUAUUAUUGGAAUUGAUCUGAAAUAGGUAGCUAGCAGUACGUGUAGUGUUUGAUUAUCUAGUGAUCAGAUCAGUUAGCAGCGAGCUGAUCUGAGCAUGGCGGAAACGGUGUUUGGUAAUCCUCUGGUUGUGAUCAGCCCGGAAUACUGUGCCCCUCACCAUCUUCAAAUCUCAAUCAAGAAAAAGGUUUACUUUUUGGCUACCCACGGAUAUGAAGUCAAAGAUGCUGCCAAUGGCACAAUCCUCUUCAAAGUCGAAAACAUCCCUACUUUCUUCGACACCAAGGUCGUCGUCUUUGAUCCCGCCGGAAACUCCAUCCUCACUAUCCGACGAAAGGCAUUUACAUUGCGAACCAGAUGGGAAGUUUACAGGGGAGAAAGCAAAAAGGAGAAAGACCUGAUCUUCAGCGCAAGAAAAUCUUCGGCGUUCCAGUUCACCACAAACCUAGACGUGUUCUUAGCCGGCAACACAUCGGAACAAGUCUGCGAUUAUAAGAUGAAGACAAGCUACUCGGAGUCGACGUGCGAUAUCUACGUUAAACCAUCUUCUACCUUAAUUGCUCAGAUGCAGAAGAAAGUGACGGCGGGGAGUUUAUUCCUGGGAAAGGAUAAUUUCACGGUGACGCUGCACCCAAACGUGGAUCAAGCUUUCAUCGUUGCUCUUAUAGUAAUUCUCCAAGAGAUCGUCGACUCAAGAAGAAGAAAUCACACUUCUCAUCACCAUUGAACAUACAUGAUGAACUGAUAGAUCGAAGUAGGGAUAUAUAACAGUUCGUCGUGGUUGGCGUCUUCCUUUUAUAUAUCUGCUAUUCUUUUAUUAUUUAAUCAUGAGUAGAUCUACUUGAUGCUAUAAACCUUUGAAAUUUUAGUUUUAACCAUUUUGUGGGGGUGUGUAUUGUUUAUUGUUCUUGAAAUGUUUCAUGAUGUAAUUACUUGUAAAUUAUAUUGUAUUAGCACUUCAAUUUAA